UACGGGGGGGGCAAGCGUUGUUCGGAAUUACUGGGCGUAAAGGGCUCGUAGGUGGCCAACUAAGUCAGACGUGAAAUCCCUCGGCUUAACCGGGGAACUGCGUCUGAUACUGGAUGGCUUGAGUUCGGGAGAGGGAUGCGGAAUUCCAGGUGUAGCGGUGAAAUGCGUAGAUAUCUGGAGGAACACCGGUGGCAAAGGCGGCAUCCUGGACCGACACUGACGCUGAGGAGCGAAAGCCAGGGGAGCAAACGGG
rnacentral:rRNA from 1 species